rnacentral:rRNA from 1 species
AACGAACGCUGGCGGCGUGUUUAAGACAUGCAAGUCGCACGGGAUAAGACAUGUAGUAAUACUUGUUUUAUUUAGUGGCGCACGGGUGAGUAACACGUGAAUUACAUGCCCUAUAGUGGGGAAUAGCCCAGGGAAACUUGGAUUAAUACCCCAUGGUAUCGAAAGAUUAAAGUUGGCCGCAAGGCUGUCGCUAUAGGAUUGGUUCGCGCCCUAUCAGCUUGUUGGGGAGGUAACGGCUCACCAAGGCAAUGACGGGUACCUGGUCUGAGAGGACGAUCAGGCAGACUGGAACUGAGACACGGUCCAGACACCUACGGGUGGCAGCAGUCGAGAAUAAUUCACAAUGGGGGCAACCCUGAUGGUGCAACGCCGCGUGGAGGAUGACGGUCUUCGGAUUGUAAACUCCUGUCAUCUGGGAGAAAGACCUGACGGUAAAUAGCCGGCAGGGUUGAUAGUACCAGAAGAGGAAGGGACGGCUAACUUCGUGCCAGCCGCCGCGGUAA